rnacentral:misc_RNA from 1 species
GAUGAAGAACGUAGUGAAAUGCGAUAAGUAAUGUGAAUUGCAGAAUUCAGUGAAUCAUCGAAUAUUUGAACGCACAUUGCGCCCAUUAGUAUUCUAGUGGGCAUGCCUGUUCGAGCGUCAUUAAGUCCACUUAAGCCCUGCUUAGUGUUGGGAGACUGCUCCAGCGGUGCUACCCUGUAGCUACCCUGCAGCUCCUCAAAGACAGCGGCGGAGUUGUGGUAUCCUCUGAGCUUAGUAACUUGUUCUAGCUUUCGAGUACACCACUUCCCCUGCCGUAAAACCCUUAAUUUUUAAUGGUUGACCUCGGAUCAGGUAGGAAUACCCGCUGAACUUAAGCAUAUCAAUAAGCGGAGGA